rnacentral:rRNA from 1 species
GACGAACGCUGGCGGCGUGCCUAAUACAUGCGAGUCGAACGAACCGCGACUGAGUGCUUGCACUUGGUCAAGGUGAGUGGCGAACGGGUGAGUAACACGUGGGUAACCUACCUCAUAGUGGGGGAUAACAGUCGGAAACGACUGCUAAUACCGCAUAGGACAUGGAAUCACAUGAUUCUGUGAGGAAAGGUGGCGCAAGCUAUCGCUAAGAGAUGGACCCGCGGUGCAUUAGCUAGUUGGUAGGGUAAGGGCCUACCAAGGCGAUGAUGCAUAGCCGACCUGAGAGGGUGAUCGGCCACAUUGGGACUGAGACACGGCCCAAACUCCUACGGGAGGCAGCAGUAGGGAAUCUUCCGCAAUGGACGCAAGUCUGACGGAGCAACGCCGCGUGAGUGAAGAAGGUCUUCGGAUCGUAAAGCUCUGUUGUUAGAGAAGAACAGCGCAUAGAGUAACUGUUAUGCGUGUGACGGUAUCUAACCAGAAAGCCACGGCUAACUACGUG